UUGUUCCGUGAACAAUAAGUAACCCAGUUAGUUAGUUAUCAACUCAGAGGAAACAAGAGGCUGGUUGAUAAUUUAUAGCAGCACAACCAAUUUAAAUGGAAAGUUCAUAUGAAGAGAUUUCCAUCAGAAGAGACCCAAAUCGGCUACGCACCUUGUCUAUGAACACUCUGUGCUGGUUGGCAGAGUAAGGCCUGGACUAUAAAAUGGAGCUGCUGGGAUGAUCAGCUAACAAGAACAAGAGCUGGAUUUGGAUGUUAUUUCACUUGAAGGCAAUGAAGGAGAAAGCUGAGUGGACCUGGACCUUGUGGCAUUUAUUAAACACGCACACAGCAGAAUAUUGCCCUGUACCUUGUUACAGCACCUUAACAUGUAUAUUGCAUUACAACUUCAGUUCAAAGUAGCAAUGGAGGGGUUAAGCAGAAGUUAAUCAUCACAUAAGACAGGGGCCAUUUGGUUUAUAAAUGCACAAAUUAUGGAGGACUUGGAUAAUUAGUAACCAGCUCAGGCCCCCUGAGUCCAGUGAUUAUCAUAACCCACAGUAUUACCAAGGCCAGAAACUGAAGACCCACAUCACCAUAAGAAGAGUGGGAGACAUCAGCAAAGGCACCUCAAGAAGAAAAUAA